rnacentral:rRNA from 1 species
UACGUAGGGCGCAAGCGUUGUCCGGAAUUAUUGGGCGUAAAGAGCUCGUAGGCGGCCUGUUGCGUCCGCUGUGAAAUCCCGGGGCUUAACCCCGGGCUUGCAGUGGAUACGGGCAGGCUGGAGGCAGGCAGGGGAGAACGGAAUUCCCGGUGUAGCGGUGGAAAUGCGCAGAUAUCGGGAGGAACACCGGUGGCGAAGGCGGUUCUCUGGGCCUGUACUGACGCUGAGGAGCGAAAGCGUGGGGAGCGAACAGG